GCCAGUGUAGCUUAAUGGGUAGGGAACUGGACUUAUAACCGAAAGGUUGUGGGUUUGAUUCCCAGGUUUGGUU
rnacentral:tRNA from 1 species